rnacentral:rRNA from 1 species
UACGUAGGGGGCAAGCGUUGUCCGGAUUUAUUGGGCGUAAAGAGCGUGUAGGCGGCCAAGCAGGUCCGCUGUGAAAACUCGAGGCUCAACCUCGAGAGGUCGGUGGAAACCGUUUGGCUAGAGUCCGGAAGAGGAGAGUGGAAUUCCCGGUGUAGCGGUGAAAUGCGUAGAUAUUGGGAAGAACACCUGAGGCGAAGGCGGGUUGCUGGGCCGACACUGACGCUGAGGCGCGAAAGCCAGGGGAGCAAACGGG